rnacentral:rRNA from 1 species
UGGAAAGGGAAGAAAUGGGCUACAUUCAAUAGUUAUAAUGAAUACGAAUGAUGUCUUGAAACAGACAUCUGAAGGAGGAUUUAGCAGUAAGCAGAGAAUAGAGCGCCCUGCUGAAAUUGGCCCUGAAGCGCGUACACACCGCCCGUCACUCUCCCCGAGCUAAUAAAGACAAAUUACUAAUAAACAAAACUGCAAAGGGGAGGCAAGUCGUAACAUGGUAAGCGUACCGGAAGGUGCGCUUGGAAAAACUCAGAGCAUAGCUAAACAACGUAUAGCAUCUCCCUUACACUGARAAGACAUCCGUGCAAACCGGAUUGCCCUGAGGCCAAAUAGCUAGCCCAACCCCCUUAAACAAAAAAAUCGCCCUAAAUAACCCCUCACGCACUAAAAGCACUAAACAAACCAUUUUCCCAUCUUAGUAUAGGAGAUAGAAAAGAUCCCGGCGCAAUAGAGAAAGUACCGCAAGGGAAAGCUGAAAGAGAAAUGAAAUAACCCAGUUUAAGCCCAAAGAAGCAAAGCUAUC